rfam:Loktanella atrilutea strain DSM 29326 genome assembly, contig: Ga0131175_104
CCGUCGGGAGGCCUCUGGUGGGACAGGGGUCACGUAUGGACGGCACGCCCCCAGUCAUAAGCGCCACACCCCGCAGCCCGGGCGAGGUGAGG